UGAGGGAUCUUGCGCAAUGGGGGCAACCCUGACGCAGCGACGCCGCGUGGGCGAUGAAGGCUUUCGGGUCGUAAAGCCCUUUUCCCACCGACGAGAACCAGGACGGUAAGUGGGGAAGAAGUCUCGGCUAACUACGUGCCAGCAGCCGCGGUAAAAACGUAGGAGGCGAGCGUUAUCCGGAGUUACUGGGCGUAAAGCGCGUGCAGGCGGCAGGGACAAGUGGCGGGUGAAAGCGUCCCGGCUCAACCGGGCGAGUGCCGGUCAGACUGUCUUGCUGGAGUACCGGUGAGGGACGUGGAAUUCCGGGUGUAGCGGUGAAAUGUGCAGAGAUCCGGAGGAACACCAGCGGCGCAAGCGGCGUCCUGGACGGAGACUGACGCUGAGACGCGACAGCGUGGGGAGCGAACGGGAUUAGAGACCCCGGUAGUCCACGCCGUAAACCACGCCAACUGGAUGUCGGGGGUCGAAAGGCUUCUCGGUGUCGAAGUUAACGCGAUAAGUUGG
rnacentral:rRNA from 1 species